ACUAGUACUACCCAAAAUGGUCUAAUGACUACUGACGGAAGAGGACUGACAACAACUACCAUCGGCCAAGCUGUAACAAAUCACUUACCAGGACUGACAACAACUACUAUCGGCCAAGCUGUAACAAAUCACUUACCAGGACUGACAACAACUACUAUCGGCCAAGCUGUAACAAAUCACGCACCAG